CGAAUCGCAUGGCCUUGCGCCGGCGAUGGUUCAUUCAAAUUUCUGCCCUAUCAACUUUCGAUGGUAGGAUAGUGGCCUACCAUGGUGGCAACGGGUAACGGGGAAUUAGGGUUCGAUUCCGGAGAGGGAGCCUGAGAAACGGCUACCACAUCCAAGGAAGGCAGCAGGCGCGCAAAUUACCCAAUCCCGAUACGGGGAGGUAGUGACAAUAAAUACUGAUACGGGGCUCUUUUGGGUCUCGUAAUUGGAAUGAGAACAAUUUAAAUCCCUUAACGAGGAACAAUUGGAGGGCAAGUCUGGUGCCAGCAGCCGCGGUAAUUCCAGCUCCAAUAGCGUAUAUUAAAGUUGUUGCAGUUAAAAAGCUCGUAGUUGAACCUUGGGUCUGGCUGGCCGGUCCGCCUCACCGCGAGUACUGGUCCGGCUGGACCUUUCCUUCUGGGGAACCUCAUGGCCUUCACUGGCUGUGGGGGGAACCAGGACUUUUACUGUGAAAAAAUUAGAGUGUUCAAAGCAGGCCUUUGCUCGAAUACAUUAGCAUGGAAUAAUAGAAUAGGACGUGUGGUUCUAUUUUGUUGGUUUCUAGGACCGCCGUAAUGAUUAAUAGGGAUAGUCGGGGGCGUCAGUAUUCAGCUGUCAGAGGUGAAAUUCUUGGAUUUACUG
rnacentral:rRNA from 1 species